AGAGUUUGAUCCUGGCUCAGGAUGAACGCUGGCGGCGUGCCUAACACAUGCAAGUCGAACGUGAACUCGAUCUUCGGAAAGUGGCGAACGGGUGAGUAACACGUUGGUGACCUGCCCCGAAGAGGGGGAUAACUCUGGGAAACCAGAGCUAAUACCCCGGAUGUCCAAGGGUUUAGACGCCUUGGACUAAAGCUUUGGCGCUUCGGGAGGGGCCUGCGGGCUAUCAGCUAGUUGGUGGGGUAAAGGCCUACCAAGGCAAGACGGCUAGGGGGCGUGAGAGCGUGACCCCCCACAAGGGAACUGAGAAACGGUCCCUACUCCUACGGGAGGCAGCAGUGAGGAAUAUUGAGCAAUGGGCGCAAGCCUGACUCAGCAACGCCGCGUGGAUGAAGAAGGCCUUCGGGUUGUAAAAUCCUUUUCUGGGGGAAGAUGAUGGACGGUACCCCAGGAAUAAGUCCGGCUAACUACGUGCCAGCAGCCGGUAACGU
rnacentral:rRNA from 1 species